UACGUAGGGUGCAAGCGUUAAUCGGAAUUACUGGGCGUAAAGCGUGCGCAGGCGGUUUUUGUAAGUCUGUCGUGAAAGCCCCCGGGCUCAACCUGGGAAUUGCGAUGGAGACUGCAAGGCUUGAAUCUGGCAGAGGGGGGGUAGAAUUCCACGUGUAGCAGUGAAAUGCGUAGAGAUGUGGAGGAACACCGAUGGCGAAGGCAGCCC
rnacentral:rRNA from 1 species